GAAGUGGGAAGGCUAAAACAGUCAGGAGGUUGGCUUAGAAGCAGCCACCCUUUAAAGAAAGCGUAAUAGCUCACUGAUCGAGUCGUCCUGCGCGGAAGAUGUAACGGGGCUAAGCCAUAUACCGAAGCUGCGGAUGCGAGCUUGCUCGCAUGGUAGGAGAGCGUUCCGUAAGCCUGCGAAGGUGCCUUGUAAAGGGUGCUGGAGGUAUCGGAAGUGCGAAUGCUGACAUGAGUAGCGAUAAAGGGGGUGAAAGGCCCCCUCGCCGUAAGCCCAAGGUUUCCUACGCAACGUUCAUCGGCGUAGGGUGAGUCGGCCCCUAAGGCGAGGCAGAAAUGCGUAGCUGAUGGGAAGCAGGUCAAUAUUCCUGCACCGUCGUUAGAUGCGAUGGGGGGACGGAUCGCGGAAGGUUGUCCGGGUGUUGGACGUCCCGGUCGCUGCAUUGGAGAAGGCGCUUAGGCAAAUCCGGGCGCGGAAUUCAAGGGUGUGGCGCGAGCGACUUCGGUCGCGAAGCAAUUGGAAGUGGUUCCAAGAAAAGCCUCUAAGCUUCAGUCUAACGAUGACCGUACCGCAAACCGACACAGGUGGGCGAGAUGAGUAUUCUAAGGCGCUUGAGAGAACUCGGGAGAAGGAACUCGGCAAAUUGGUACCGUAACUUCGGGAUAAGGUACGCCCUUGUAGCUUGACUGGCCUGCGCCAGAAGGGUGAAGGGG
rnacentral:rRNA from 1 species